rnacentral:rRNA from 1 species
GCGGUAUUCUAACCGUGCAAGGUAGCGUAAUCACUUGUCUUCUAAAUAAAGACUAGUAUGAAAGGCACCCCGAAGACUAAGCUGUCUCCUUUCUCCAAUCAGUGAACCUAAUCUCCCCGUGAAGAAGCGGGGAUCCUAUUAUAAGACAAGAAGACCCUAUGGAGCUUAAAACAUUGAUUAUAUGUUUUGGUUGGGGUGACCGCGGAGAAAAACUUAUCCUCCACAGUAAGAUAAGUCACAACUUUAUGCAUCAAUUGAUUAACGAACCAAGUUACCCUAGGGAUAACAGCACAAUCCACUUUGAGAGCCCAUAUCGACAAGUGGGCUUAUGACCUCGAUGUUGGAUCGGGAUAUCCUAGUGGUGCAACCGCUACUAAAGGUUCGUUUG